UACGUAGGGUGCGAGCGUUAAUCGGAAUUACUGGGCGUAAAGGGUGCGCAGGCGGCUUGCUAAGACAGGUGUGAAAGCCCCGAGCUUAACUUGGGAAUUGCGCUUGUGACUGGCGUGCUGGAGUGUGGCAGAGGGAGGUGGAAUUCCACGUGUAGCAGUGGAAAUGCGUAGAGAUGUGGAGGAACACCGAUGGCGAAGGCAGCCUCCUGGGCCAGCACUGACGCUCAUGCACGAAAGCGUGGGAGCAAACAGG
rnacentral:rRNA from 1 species